rnacentral:lncRNA from 1 species
GUGGGUGCAGGAUGGGAUCAAUCCCUGUGUGAGCAGGAUGGGAUGAAUCCCUGUGUGAGCAGGAUGGGAUCAAUCCCUGUGUGUGCAGGACAGAGUGAAUCCCUGUGGGUGCAGGAUGGGAUCAAUCCCUGUGUGAGCAGGAUGGGAUGAAUCCCUGUGUGAGCAGGAUGGGAUCAAUCCCUGUGUGUGCAGGACAGAGUGAAUCCCUGUGGGUGCAGGAUGGGAUCAAUCCCUGUGUGAGCAGGAUGGGAUGAAUCCCUGUGUGAGCAGGAUGGGAUCAAUCCCUGUGUGUGCAGGACAGAGUGAAUCCCUGUGGGUGCAGGAUGGGAUCAAUCCCUGUGUGAGCAGGAUGGGAUGAAUCCCUGUGUGAGCAGGAUGGGAUCAAUCCCUGUGUGUGCAGGACAGAGUGAAUCCCUGUGGGUGCAGGAUGGGAUCAAUCCCUGUGUGAGCAGGAUGGGAUGAAUCCCUGUGUGAGCAGGAUGGGAUCAAUCCCUGUGUGUGCAGGACAGAGUGAAUCCCUGUGGGUGCAGGAUGGGAUCAAUCCCUGUGUGAGCAGGAUGGGAUGAAUCCCUGUGUGAGCAGGAUGGGAUCAAUCCCUGUGUGUGCAGGACAGAGUGAAUCCCUGUGGGUGCAGGAUGGGAUCAAUCCCUGUGUGAGCAGGAUGGGAUCAAUCCCUGUGUGUGCAGGACAGAGUGAAUCCCUGUGUGUGCAGGAUGGGAUGUGCCUCUCCUGCUCCCACAAAAGCAGAGCAGGGGGACGAGCCAGCCUCUGCCAAGCACCGCAGCACUGUGGAACUGGGAGCAGGGAGCCACAGCUCAGAGAGGAGCCCCAGAAGAGCCCUCUCCUGCCCACAGGCUGCCCUGAAAUCACUCCCUUCCCCUCCUGGUGCUGCCAGCCCCCAGCUCCCAUCCCUGCAGCCAGCACAGCCCCAAGCUGUACUGUGUCAGCCCCAUCCUCCCCCCGGAGCAGCUGCCACAGCCUUAUCAGCCCUGGGCAGGCACAGCCCUGCCCUGUGCUGGGGCUAUCGGGGCUCACACACCCUGCUGGGCUGGGACAAACACUUUUCUGCCCAGUACCAGCAGCUCACAGCCCGGCCAGGGCUUUGCUGUGCCCGCACAGGAACCUCCCACCUGCACCCACAGGGACUCGCUGGCCCUGCACAGCUCCCCCUUCUCAGGCACUCGGCAAUUCCCCACCCAGAUGGAAAAAUAUGUUAAACAAACUGUACCUUGCAAAGGGUCUGCAGCCACAAAGGGAAUUUCUCUGUUUCUUCUGCCUUCUCCUCCUGCCUCCACUGACAGAGGUCAGAGCCCUUCCCAGCUUUGGCCAACAUCACAAAGAACCCAGCAGUUCCCAAAGUGUUUUCAUGGAGACAACCCCAGAGCCACACGGGCAGUGUCACAUCUCGAAGGGUUUUUUUCAGCCUCCUUUGCACAGCUUUGAGUGAAUUCCAAGAAUACCACGGAUUCCAAGAAUUCCAACCUCAGUGUUUGUCCUCAAGGACAAGGCACUGAGCCUGCAGCCUGACCCACCUGAGGACUUCUUGGAUAAAAGCCCCUUGAGCACAGCAGAGAGGCCAAACUGCUCAUUGUGCAAGGGGGGAACUGGACAUAAACCUUGUAUUCAUGACAAAUUCUAUUUUGUAGACCAAGGAAACAGUAGCAGUAAAUAUUAAAAUGCAUAAGUGGUUCCAUUUCAGAAGAGUCAUUUUUAAAAUGCAUAUAGAUGCACUCUGGUGUGGACUUUUAAAAGCAAAAUUCACAUGCUUUGGAGGAGUUAAUUGCUCACAGUAUGUGAGGGCAGGAAGGGAGAACAAAAGCAGAUCUGUAAAGCUGAGAGCAAAAAUUAGCCCUGAAAAUUGUGCCCAGUGGGAAAUGUGCCCCACCAGCCUGAUUUGGGGCCCAGGUACAGGGGAGUCAAUUUGCCAGCACAGAGCAGGAAGUUUCCUACCUGGGAGAGGUAAAGAACGGAAACCUGCCCAAAUCCUGGUUACAGCAACUACAAAUAACAUCCUGACACAGGAAAUUAAACCUCUCACACAAAGCACCCAUUAAAAAAGUGAACCUGAUUGGGGAAAGAAAAAAAAAAAAAAAGAGAGAGAGAGAAACUAUGUAAAUAACCUGGAUUAAAUUCAAGGCAUUUUCUCCUGAACAUCAUGAAAUAUCUCGGAUGCAGCCAGACCUGUCUGCCCUCUCUGGAUGCUCUGGGCAGAGCCCACAGCACACUCCAGACUCGAUUUAGGAGCGUUCAAGAGUGAUGAAGACAAACAUUCCUGGGUACAGGCAGCUUCAGCACAGACCAAACACUGAGCAUCAUGCUAGCAACGGCAUCAGCCAAGAGAUACAAACAUUAGCUUUCCAGAGAAGAAUUUUUAGUGCACUGGUAGUUCCUUGUCAGACAGUAAAUUUUAAAAUAGUCCAUAGUAAAUUGCAGGGAGUAACCCUUUAAAUACACAAAGUUAUCUGCACAUGUUACACUUCAAUCCUGCAGCAGCACCUGGAGACAUUUUAAUAACCUCUCAUGGUUCUCCUUGAACACUUGCAGGGGUUUGGGUGAACACAUUUGGGGUUCCUGCCUCUGCUUCACUGUCAGCUCUGUGCACUCCUUGAUAAUAUGGUUUUCAAAAUGAAAAUGAAAGGAGAAAGCUGAAAGAUUUUAAUCUUCCUGUUGAAAGACCAAAGCAAAAUCCUUC